rnacentral:lncRNA from 1 species
AGGCUGUCUUGGUGACUUGCAAGCAACUCACUAUGCUUUAGUGCUAGACUAUCUAAAUUUCUAAUUCAGUGAUGGAAGAUUUUUGGAUAUAGUCAAGUACUUGUGAAGUCUGAGUAUGAGUCAAGAUGAGAUUGACUGCUCCAAGUAAAAUUGAAGAUGAUGCAUCACUAUAUUUUAAUUUAACAAAACUUUGGCCAAAGUAGUCCUAGUAAGGAGUCACAGGA